rnacentral:rRNA from 1 species
CAGCAUAUCAAUAAGCGGAGGAAAAGAAACCAACAGGGAUUGCCUCAGUAACGGCGAGUGAAGCGGCAACAGCUCAAAUUUGAAAUCUGGCCCUAGGCCCGAGUUGUAAUUUGCAGAGGAUGCUUUUGGUGCGGUGCCUUCCAAGUUCCCUAGAACGGGACGCCAGAGAGGGUGAGAGCCCCGUACAGUUGGACACCAAGCCUUUGUAAAGCUCCUUCGACGAGUCGAGUAGUUUGGGAAUGCUGCUCAAAAUGGGAGGUAUAUUUCUUCUAAAGCUAAAUACCGGCCAGAGACCGAUAGCGCACAAGUAGAGUGAUCGAAAGAUGAAAAGCACUUUGAAAAGAGGGUUAAACAGCACGUGAAAUUGUUAAAAGGGAAGCGCUUGUGACCAGACUUGCGUCCGGUGAAUCACCCAGCUCUCGCGGCUGGGGCACUUCGCCGGCUCAGGCCAGCAUCAGCUCGCUGUCGGGGACAAAAGCUUCAGGAACGUAGCUCUCUUCGGGGAGUGUUAUAGCCUGUUGCACAAUACCCUUCGGCGGGCUGAGGUACGCGCUCCGCAAGGAUGCUGGCAUAAUGGUCAUCAGCGACCCGUCUUGAAACACGGACCAAGGAGUCAACCUUAUGUGCGAGUGUUCGGGUGUCAAACCCCUACGCGUAAUGAAAGUGAACGCAGGUGAGAGCUUCGGCGCAUCAUCGACCGAUCCUGAUGUUCUCGGAUGGAUUUGAGUAAGAGCAUAUAGGGUUGGACCCGAAAGAAGGUGAACUAUGCGUGUAUAGGGUGAAGCCAGAGGAAACUCUGGUGGAGGCUCGCAGCGGUUCUGACGUGCAAAUCGAUCGUCAAAUAUGCGCAUGGGGGCGAAAGACUAAUUAAACCUUCUAGUAGCUGGUUCGC